rnacentral:rRNA from 1 species
ACUCCUACGGGAGGCAGCAGUAGGGAAUAUUGCGCAAUGGAGGAAACUCUGACGCAGCGACGCCGCGUGUGUGAUGAAGGCUUUCGGGUCGUAAAGCACUGUCAGAAGGGAAGAAACCACCUUGGAAUACUUGGGUGGCUUGACGGUACCUUCGAAGGAAGCACCGGCUAACUACGUGCCAGCAGCCGCGGUAAUACGUAGGGUGCUAACGUUGUUCGGAAUUAUUGGGCGUAAAGCGCGUGUAGGUUGCCAGAUAAGUUGGAUGUGAAAG